UACGUAGGGUGCGAGCGUUGUCCGGAAUUACUGGGCGUAAAGAGCUCGUAGGUGGUUUGUCGCGUUGUUCGUGAAAACUCACAGCUUAACUGUGGGCGUGCGGGCGAUACGGGCAGACUGGAGUACUGCAGGGGAGACUGGAAUUCCUGGUGUAGCGGUGGAAUGCGCAGAUAUCAGGAGGAACACCGGUGGCGAAGGCGGGUCUCUGGGCCGAAAACUGACGCUGGAGGAGCGAAAAGCGUGGGGGAGCGAACAGGG
rnacentral:rRNA from 1 species